UUCCGCGGCUAGCAUAACUACUUCAACGACAGCAGCAGUGACACAUAAAGAAAAGACAACGCACGCCAGAUCGGAUGCAGGCCUGGGACAAUACACGCUGCUAUCGUGUUGUAUCAAUUACAGCUGACCACCGGUCAGGUGGGUCUGCGGGACAUUUUAGAUCACGGAGGGGCAGCCAGCUCGUUCAGCGCCUCAAGCCUGCUCCCAGACUCCAGUCCCAGGCCCCGCUGAGGCCUUGUCCCAGGCAGGGCAGAGAGACACCUGGCCAAACCGCAGAAACACUUCCAGCUGCAGACUGCCUGAUGCUCACCACGGAGAGAAUCCAGGCCAAAGGUGGAGGAGCUCACCAAGAACUACUGCACUACCAUAAACACUUUUAUUUAAACCACACUACCACAUAUUUGCUCAUCUGCAGAGGUUCGGUAAUGACAGGCAUGUCUUUAAGUUCCAGAGGAAACUUUUACAUUGUCACGAUGUUUACACUGUGUCCCAACAAAAAUCUCGUUUCCACCUCCAAAAUGGGAACCAGAGCCCAGCAGCAGGACUGUUAAACUGUGCUCCUCGGCGUGAAAGUGGGUGAAAAAAAAAGGCAGAGGGAACAACAGCUCCCUUUUCUCUCCGACUAGUUGACAUGAAAGGCCACAUUAUGUCCGAGAUUAGAGGCAAUUACACUUGGAGUGCGCUUUAAGACCUUUGUUUGCCAACAUGACAGGAGGGAGCAGGGCUGUAAUUUGAUGAGGAGGCAGUGCGAGUGAGAACCUCUGCAUGGCGAGCUCCCAGCGGAGAGAGGCAAAGAGAAGCCUUUGUCCGCUGCGUGGCCAGGGCAGUUGGCAGAAAUAUGAACAUUUAGAGGAAGAAUAAUUCAACUAGAAUUCAUUAAAUAGCAGAGGGGUCUUUGUGUGGCUCCUGUUUAUGGCUGAAAAGUGAGUUUAAAGAGACUUUACAGCCUCGGAGGAAAUACUUUCAUCUUUGCCUUUUGUUCCGAAUAGCUCUCUAUUGUUUCAGCAUUUCUGUUAAUUGAAAUGGCACAAUUGUGUUGCUUCAGUCGAAUGUUACAAAUACUGUAAACAUAUGAUUCUGCCUGAACUUGCGGUCAAAGAAAACCAGCCCCCCAAAAUCUUCAGGACGUGAUAUCUCCUUCAUAGCCGGGCGCAUUGUUCUGAACACACUGCGAAUUUUCAGGACAGGAAACGAGCAGCUUGUUCCAGCCCGACCGGCAGAAUGGAGCACGUCUUUAUUUGAGGGAAGUCAUUCCGUUGAUAUAUAAAACACCAAAGCAAGGUUUCCUUCCCCCUCGUUUUCCUGGUGCUAUCCCCUUCAAAAGGACACGGCCCUUUAUACUGGGCUCACAUGCACACACGGGACCAGAAGAAAAGCAAACAGAGGCCAUUUAAAUAUCAACCAACCUGCCUCCUGUUUGAAUGGAGGAGCUACUGCUCGGCCCGGGCUAGUCCAGCAUGCUGGUGUUACGUGCUCAGCCCUCUGAGCAAUGAGUGGACUAAACUGGGGAGCAUCAGCAAAACAAAGCAUUAUGGUGUUCACUUCUGCAGGUAUAGGCCAAUACUGCGAAAUUGAAUAUACUGUAUGUGGUUGGGUCUUCACUACUGUAUGUGAAAUAAAACCCUUUGUGUUAAGAUUAAAUUAAUCAGCCACACAUUCAGCAACUUUGUCUUUUUUUGUUGAAUAGAAGAAAAACAUCGUCAUAUUCCUUGAUGUCAAGUAUUAAGAUGCAAGAUUCAAUUUAUUGUCAUCUUCUCCAAACACAUCAGGCAGUAUACAGUAACCUCAAUGCUACGGCAAGAACAGAGAAAAGAAGUACAAAGAGUAAAGUGCAGAAGUAUGAAGUGCGAUGAAUGAUAAGUGCUGUCCGUCGCACGUAUGAAGAAUGAAUCUUGUUUUUCAUUAAAAAGAAUAUAAUGUCUGAUGCGUAAAUCUUAAUAAUAAUAAGAAUACCCACGGAAAUAAAAAGAGAAGAUAUAAAAACAACAGCAGAAAUAGUAUUGGCAGGGAUUGUUUUAGUGGAAACUCAGGUCUCCAAUUGACACCAAUCAUAUCAACAACUUUUUAAACAAUACCCACUUUCACCGUCUUGUUCUCCUCAGCCAAAUGUUCCCAGAAGGGUGUGUGGAAGAGGAAGAGGACCACCUAUUAAAGUGAAAUCUUAGGAGUGAUGGAU